rnacentral:rRNA from 1 species
UACGAAGGGGGCUAGCGUUGUUCGGAAUUACUGGGCGUAAAGCGCGUGUAGGCGGGUCUUUAAGUCAGGGGUGAAAUGCCAAGGCUCAACCUUGGAACUGCCUUUGAUACUGGAGAUCUUGAGUCCGGGAGAGGUGAGUGGAACUGCGAGUGUAGAGGUGAAAUUCGUAGAUAUUCGCAAGAACACCAGUGGCGAAGGCGGCUCACUGGCCCGGAACUGACGCUGAGACGCGAAAGCGUGGGGA